UCCAGGUGCUGCGUGGAGGGAGCCGAUCCCCGGCUUCUUGGCGGGACGAGACGGGGGUGGCGGGGAGGGCAGAGAAGGGGGCCCUGGCUGCUGCCCCCUCAGAAGUCUGCUGGAUUUUGGUCAUAGCCUAGAACGGGCCGCCCCAGAGGCCUGGGUACCCAGAGAGGACCUCGGCGUGGACAGUAUGUUCUCAACACAAAACAGCCAAUGUUUCCAGCACUUACUGGUCGCUAUUUCUGAUGACUCCAUGAGGCAUCAAAGACACCAGAUCCACCUCUCCUGGUCACCAAGAGGAAUUGUGAAUUGCUUUUCGGCUCCAGAGGCUGCUCUCCAGGAAGGCGUCGGGGUGUAAGAGUGUGAUCUGGUUGUGAACUAUGGUCCUGUGCAGCCCCCACCUGAGCCUUUUCAAGGUUCUCAUUGACACUGCUACAGUGCUCAGUCUCAGGCCGAGGAUGGUUGAGAAGGAACUGAGGGUGUCGGAUCUUGUGCACGUUAGAUGAGGCACCAACGGUGCUGUGAGAUGAUCACUGUGCGCGUGUGACCCAAACAGACACUGCUACCGAAAAUCUCUGAUCAACGGCGCCGGGACGCACUGACACCUGAAGUGGAACCCCCACAGGAGGACACAUCUCGAAGAAUCUCAGCAACUGCACAGGUGAUCUCCAGUGUUAGACCAGCAAGAAGUUCCCUCAGGAAUCACUGCUUACUCCCUCCAUCCCAACGUCUGUGACUGGGUGUGGUCCUACUAAUGAAAAUCCUGAGCCAGUUCCCAUUCUCACGUUUCUCAUUUGGUAAGGCAAGUUAUCACUGAUGCAUUAGGAUAGUAGUAAUUAAUUCUACAGUGAAUCUAGCAAUGGCUUCCUGACACUGGGAAUUCAGGGUGGGUUCUUUUUCCCUGGAGAUAUAUAAAAAAAGCAAAGCUAGCAUCAAGUCCGGCAAACAGAAAGAUGCUGUGAAGCCCUUUCCAUACCCUUCAAUAAUGCUGGAUCAAUAUGACCUAUAUAAUACUCAUGGAUAAUUUAAAAAAAAAAGUCCCAUUUGAAAUAAUAAAAAAUAUGCAUCAGCAAUCUGCUGCAAAUUACCUUUUUU